UACAGAGGUCCCAAGCGUUGUUCGGAUUCACUGGGCGUAAAGCGUGCGUAGGAGGCCAGAAAAGUCGGGUGUGAAAUCCCACCGCUCAACGGUGGAACUGCAUUCGAUACUGUCUGGCUCGAGGAUCGGAGGGGAGAGCGGAAUUCUUGGUGUAGCGGUGAAAUGCGUAGAUAUCAAGAGGAACACCGGUGGCGAAGGCGGCUCUCUGGAAGAUUCCUGACUCUGAGGCACGAAGGCCAGGGGAGCAAACGGG
rnacentral:rRNA from 1 species